UACAGAGGGUGCGAGCGUUAAUCGGAAUUACUGGGCGUAAAGCGCGCGUAGGCGGCUUUGCAAGUCGGGUGUGAAAUCCCCAGGCUUAACCUGGGAACUGCAUUCGAGACUGCAUUGCUAGAGUAUGGGAGAGGGAAGUGGAAUUUCCGGUGUAGCGGUGAAAUGCGUAGAUAUCGGAAGGAACAUCAGUGGCGAAAGCGGCUUCCUGGACCAGCACCGACGUUCAGGCACGAAAGCGUGGGGAGCAAACAGG
rnacentral:rRNA from 1 species